CCUACGGGCGGCAGCAGUAGGGAAUAUUGCUCAAUGGGGGAAACCCUGAAGCAGCAACGCCGCGUGGAGGAUGAAGGUUUUCGGAUUGUAAACUCCUUUUGUUAGAGAAGAUAAUGACGGUAUCUAACGAAUAAGCACCGGCGAACUCCGUGCCAGCACCCGCGGUAAAACGGAGGGGGUAAGCGUUACUCGGAAUCACUGGGCGUAAAGAGCGCGGAGGCGGGAUAGCAAGUCAGAUGUGAAAUCCUCGGACUUAACCAUAGAACUGCAUUUGAAACUGUUAUUCUAGAGUAUGGGAGAGGUAGGUGGAAUUCUUGGUGUAGGAGUAAAAUCCGUAGAGAUUAAGAGGAACACUCAUUGCGAAGGCGACCUGCUAGAACAUAACUGACGCUGAUGCGCGAAAGCGUGGGGAGCAAACAGGAUUAGAUACCCUAGUAGUC
rnacentral:rRNA from 1 species